rnacentral:rRNA from 1 species
UACAGAGGGUGCGAGCGUUGUCCGGAAUCACUGGGCGUAAAGGGCGCGUAGGUGGCGCCGCAAGUCCAUGGUGAAAGCUCGAUGCUCAACAUCGAGUCGGCCACGGAGACUGCGGGGCUCGAGCGCACUGGUAGGGGCAGAUGGGAAUUCCGGGUGUAGCGGUGGAAUGCGUAGAGAUCCGGAAGAACACCGGUGGCGAAGGCGGUCUGCUGGGCAGUUCCUGACACUGGAGACACGAAGGCCAGGGGAGCAAACGGG